rnacentral:misc_RNA from 1 species
GAUGAAGAACGUAGCGAAAUGCGAUAAGUAAUGUGAAUUGCAGAAUUCAGUGAAUCAUCGAAUAUUUGAACGCACCUUGCACCCUUUGGCAUUCUGAAGGGUAUGCUCGUUUGAGUGUCAUUGUACUCUCACACUCCCGAUCUUUGCAUUGGGAGCAGUGGACUUGGGUUUGCUGCUUCACCGUCGCUUACCUCAAAUAGGUUAGUGCAACUCUUGGUUGGACAUAGUACGGCGUGAUAAGUGUUCUUCGCCGGUGCCUCGCAAAGAGGGUGGCCGAUCGGGAUGUUGUGCUCCAAACCGUCUUCGGACAAUCUCUGACGACUUGACCUCAAAUCGAGUAAGACUACCCGCUGAACUUAAGCAUAUCAAUAAGCGGAGGA